rnacentral:rRNA from 1 species
UCCUACGGGGGGCAGCAGUGAGGAAUAUUGGUCAAUGGGCUUACGCCUGAACCAGCCAAGUCGCGUGAGGGAAGACUGCCCUAUGGGUUGUAAACCUCUUUUGUCAGGGAGCAAUUGGCGCUACGUGUAGCGUUAUCGAGAGUACCUGAAGAAAAAGCAUCGGCUAACUCCGUGCCAGCAGCCGCGGUAAUACGGAGGAUGCGAGCGUUAUCCGGAUUUAUUGGGUUUAAAGGGUGCGCAGGCGGCGAGUUAAGUCAGCGGUAAAAUUUCGGGGCUCAACCCCGACGAGCCGUUGAAACUGGCUU